rnacentral:rRNA from 1 species
GACGAACGCUGGCGGCGUGCUUAACACAUGCAAGUCGAACGAUGAAGCCGGAGCUUGCUCUGGUGAAUUAGUGGCGAACGGGUGAGUAACACGUGAGUAACCUGCCCUUGACUCUGGGAUAACUGCGGGAAACUGUAGCUAAUACCGGAUACGACCCUCGGAGGCAUCUCCUGGGGGUGGAAAGAAUUUCGGUCAAGGAUGGACUCGCGGCCUAUCAGCUAGUUGGUGAGGUAAAGGCUCACCAAGGCGACGACGGGUAGCCGGCCUGAGAGGGUGACCGGCCACACUGGGGCUGAGACACGGCCCAGACUCCUACGGGAGGCAGCAGUGGGGAAUAUUGCACAAUGGGCGCAAGCCUGAUGCAGCAACGCCGCGUGAGGGAUGACGGCCUUCGGGUUGUAGACCUCUUUUAGCAGGGAAGAAGCGAAAGUGACGGUACCUGCAGAAAAAGCACCGGCUAACUACGUGCCAGCAGCCGCGGUAA